GCGCUUCUGGGCACAUUAGUAUAGAUUUAGACCUCGAUUUAUCCCAAGGAGUAGAUGCCAGGAAAUUCUUUCUGGAACCUCGUGAUAUUUGUGGCUUUUCAGAGCUAAGGAGAAGUGAAGUUCGAAGUGCUGACAGCAUUGCCUCACCAUCCAUCUCGGGCACAACCCCUUCAAGUUUCCUACCUAUAUCAGCCAAAUAGAGUGAUUCAAAUCAAGGUUUUGGCUGGAAAAUCUCAGAAAUGCAAAUUAUCUCAGCCUUCUGCUUCUUCCAGUGUGUCUUUAUGGGUCCAAGUCAGUCUCCACCCUGCAGAAAUACAGACAUUUCUGUGUGACUCCACGUGCAUGACUGGUCACUAUAAAGCAAAUAAGCGACACUCGUGGAUGUUGGAUCGUGUGUCAUCUUGUUGGAUGUGCCUCCAGAUUUGCUGAGAAUGUCACCAUGAAUGUCCAUUGGCAAACUGGAUAAGAAAGAGUGUCACAGUGCAGGACAACCUAGAAGAUGACAGGUAUUUCCAGGCAUAGCAAUGAUGAGAUCAAAUUCCCCUCAACCUGCCUUGUUUGCUGAUCUUUUAAUCAGAUUCAACUUCACUGCAGCUACAGCACAAGGUUCCCUGACAAUGUAUGACAGCAUGUGACAGAAAAAUAUUUUGAUUUUUUUUUUCUUUUUUAGUCAUUUGAUGCUAUUUGAGAUAAAUCUGAAGCCCCAGCAGCAGCUGAUAAAUCUACCAAACUACUUUAGUGGAGGUUUUUAACUAUUCAGAAUUGAACUGGGGGGUCUGGGGUGUGUGUUCGUGUGUUUGUAGUGGAAUCCAAACAGGAAAGCUGGGAAAUGAUCUAAACCCUUUGAGGUUAACCUGCCAUGAAAAAGCAUCAAUGACAGAAGAGGACAUUAUUAAAAAGGAGCCAACCUUGCUCAAAAAGAACCACUUUAUGAAGCCAGAGCCCAAAGAACAACACCCAGGGCUGUUUGUGUCCCCACAGGGAUAUGUAUUUCAUACCCCAUCUUCAUCUCUCCAAAUUUCCUCUGAACAGCUUCUGAGCUGAAUUCUUGAGAAAGAAAAACACCAGCAAAUUUUGAAUGGACUUAUCAGCCUUUUCCCUACAAUCUGCUUCAUAUUCCUCUCACACCCAUGUUCUUGCAGUGUCUUGGGGAAAUGCUUGGAUCACAGAUAAGAGAGAACAAGGAAAGGAAUGAAGCAAGAAACAAACAACAAAACAAAACCAGCACCCCCCAAACUUUUUGAUGAAACUCCUCUGCGAAUUGUGUGUAUGGUUACAGCAAAGUUAAAACUGCCUUCUUCUCCUUCACCAGUACUUAAUUCCUGCUUUUAAAAUCAGGUUCCCUUUGAUCUUGAGGGUUGAAAUGAUCUGGAAAUGAAACAGCCAGUGCUUUGCAGAAAAUCUGGAGAGGGUCCCAGACAUGGCUUUUACCUGGAAGGCUUCCAAAACAGGAUGAAAUCUCUCUGGUUUCAGAACAAAUUGCAAGAUUUUUUCUCUAUGUCUAGUCCAACUGUGGAACUCUAGCCCUGAUGUCUGUUGCUUCCCAAAGCACAGAUGUAAUAACCUCUGAGGUGAAAUGAGAACGUUAUUCCCCCAUCUUCUCCCCUCUGCCUCCCCUCUGAGGGUUGAGGGCUGAGAAUUUUAUUAAAGUGAAGGCUUAAAGUUUUGGGCAGACUUAAUUUGAGGAGACAGUUGGUUAUAACCCAGGCUAGGGCCAUCCAUGUGAAGGUUGGAGGGGACAGAGCACCAGGAGCAUCUGUGACAUCUGGAUCCUGUUGAAAGCUCAGAAAUAUCUGCCUGGCUUCACGUCACCUGGCCCCAGAGCCAAAAGGGCUGAGAAAUGUGGUUAAGAGAUUGCAGCAAACUCUGCCCUAGCAAAUGAGUCCCACUGAGAAAGCAAGCACAUCAAUAUUUUUUUGAGUCUGGUUCUUUUAGUGCAUAUAUUUCCAUAUGUUGUAUUAAUAUUUUUUUAUUGGGGCAUAUAAGUCCAUCUGGUAUUUGUAUUGGGAGGGUUUAAGCUGGCAGAUCGCUGCACUGCUGUUACACAUAGAUCUGGACAGCCCUUGCAAGGGUGGGUGGUUGGAUAGGGACAUCUCCUCAGCUGCCUUUUUAAUUGGAUGAACUUCUCAAAUCAAUAAAGAUAACCUGGUUACUUAUGUCAAUUAGCUCCCACUGUGCCAAUGUUACAAUGUAAGUAUGGGCUGAGUAUAAGGUGUAGCAGUUCACAGUAAAAAAAACCUCUCAGACACUGUAACAAUCCUGACCCAGGUGGUGCAAAGGAGGAAAGAUACCUGGGCAUCAAUAUUAAACAAAAAACGCGCUGAAAUAUCACAGUUUGCCAAGACAAUAAGAAUCACUUUCCUUUGCAUGUAUUAUUAAGGAAUUGGGGAAUAAUUAUCUGCUUUAAUACAAGCUUUUUCCUUCUGCAUGAUUAACUUCAGCGAUAUCAACAGAGAGCGUGAUGCCUCUGAAAUGACAGCUCCUGGUAGCACGUUCUGGGAUUAGCAAAAACAGGUUGUCACUUCACCCCAGCCAGGAUCAGGCAGUCGCUGUGUGCCGAGUGCUGGACAGCAGAGCCACGUUCUGCACCAGACAUCUGACAGCCCCAGCGGGCAGCAGGGCCAACCUCCUGCCAGGUGGCUCCAGGUCGGGCACGCAGGGCUCUGCUCCACCAGGAGAUUGGAUUUCCUCAGGCAGCACCGCGGGAUUUUGGCUGUGCAGCUUCCAGACGGAAAGAAAUGCUCCUCGUGCUAAGCUGUGAGGUGCUCUGUUCUUUGCACAAGGCGCCGAGCUGAUUUUAAAAUAGUGUGUACUUUUAAAAUGCCUGCCUCUAAUGCCAGUCCUGUGUCUGGCUGCUCGAUGUGCAGAGUGACAGCGCACGCACCAGCCCCUGGAGGGGAUGGAGAGAGAGGUAGGACAAACACGCCAGAGCUCUGAGCAAUGGCAUGAAACAACAACAACAAAAAAAUCCUUUCAUUCUUACUAAAGUUGUGAAAAGUCUGUCGUGGCUCCUGUAGAAAUUAAUCAAUAUAUGGAAAACUGCAUAAUAAGUGUGGAGGCAGCAAGGAUCUCUCCAUAAAUUAAAAUAUUGUGAGCUUCUAGAGCUAACUGGGAAAAGCACUGGGGUUACUAGCAGGGCUUUGGAGCCAAGGCAGCGUCCAUGGAAUUGGAUCCUUCACUAGAGUCCAUAUUUUGUCAAUGUCAGGAUACAUAAGAACUGUGAAACAAAGCAAAUUGUAUGUAUGGAAGGAAACUAGAAAUUUAGUCCCGCAUCAUAUUCCUUUGAAAAAUUAAUAAUAAUUAAAAAAAAGAUUAAAUGUCCAUAUAUUUUUUAAGAGAAAUAGGAGGUGCAAAGAUUAAUUCUCCAAAUCUGUGAAAUAUACAGUGAUGAGUUACCGAGGGUUGCAGUGAGGGGGGUGUUUUUGUAAUUCUGUAGGCAUCUCAGUCCUCUGGUGAAAUGAUGUAUGGGGCAAUCGUCUGGUAGGGGCUGAUGGGAUGUAAAUGAAACUAAUUAAGGAAAUGUCAAACAUAAUUAAUAAAACAGGUUUAAGUUGCAAAAGCACUGUCAGCUGAAUGAAUGGGGAAGAAUGCCUCAUUCCCAUUGUUUUGGGUCUUGCUUGCUUAUUUAUAUAUUUCUUUAUUUAUUCCUUGCUCAGCCCUUCGCCCUCCCAGCAGCUUUUUCAGUUGCACCAUUCAAUUAGAUCUCAGAAAGCUCUUGGUAGCCUCUUGCAUUUUCACCUUGCCCCCCUUGCGAGCUGGGGUCCCAUAGAAUAGGAGGAAUAUAAAUUUGCCUUGUCGGCUUGCAGCCUGGGAAGAAGAAGGAAAAAAAAUUAAUUGCUAACUCCUCGUCUUCCCCAAGUACUACAGGACAUUAACAUAACCAAUUUGCUUGAACUCCUCACUGGCUGCUUAAUAGAGCAUCUGACCAGCUGAUAAGACCUGGGUGCUGCUGCCUAUGAUACCUUGUUAUUAGCAUUUUCAUAAUAUUCAAAUUUACAGCCCCAUGAUUCACUAGCCUCCAUUCAUUAUUGAUAAGUACAAAAAAUAAAUAAAAAAGGUUUAUAAAUAGCAAAGGGGGGUGAGCGACCUAUAAUUAUGGCAAGCAAAUUAGGGUGCAUGGUAGAGUCAGUUACAUUUGCCUAGGAGUAAUGAUGCUCAAGAACUUUUUCUCCCCAGGGACCAGAAAAAUAAUGGAUUCCCUGGCAGCUGCAGAUGGGCCAGGAAAGGCUGUCACCCAGGACGCUGUUUAUAUAAGUUAGGCAGAGCAUAUGGCUCUGUGUCCUGCCUGUAGCCACCUCCAGAUAUUGCAGUUUCAAUGGAAAGAAAUAAAUACAUAAAUAAAAAUAGCCCCUCACUGGAAGGUGGUGGUGCGGGGAUAUGAGAAGGAGGAGGAGAGUGGAGGGGAGAAAAAAGCAAACAACCAAAGGGAGCCUGCUCAGAAGUUUCUGUCGAGAGCAAGCCCAGCAGCUCAGGGAUCAAGUAGGGGUCUUAAAGCCUUAAAGCCAGAGGCUGUUUAGCUGCAUCACUGAAGAGAGAAAGAUGAAAUGUGAUUUCUGCUAAAGCAAAACCUUUCCAUGUUGCAGUCCAAGGCAGUCAAAUACAAAAGCUUUGAGCCUGAGAUGAUAAAAAUCAUGAUCCCAGUUGAAAGUAGGAGCUACUAGAAAUAACCACUGGAUACUUUAUAAUUUAAACCCUGUGGUUCUAUUUCCAUUAAUCCAUUCAAAGGCCUUUUUUCUUUACUAAUGAAACUAGACUGAAACACAAAAGGGAGGCUGACCUGUUAGCAGGUGACUGUUUCUUGUAAGUUAUUCAUUAAAAACACCCUAAUGCUCUGGUGCUAAAGGAGGCUGUACCUACUUCUGUAUAAAUUAAACAUAAGUGAGUUGGU